CUUGUAGUUUAAAGCCAUUCCCCCUUGUCCUAUCAGAGCACGUAAAAUGUCAUUCUUCCUCCUGCUUACAAGCUUCUUUCAAGUACUGGAAGGCUGCAGUGAGGUCUCCCUGGAACCUUCUCUUCUCCAGGCUGAACAAGCCCAUGGUGUGCACGCACCCGGAUGAAGGCCGGAGUGUACUUGCACUCAGCUCCAUAGCAAGGAUUCUCAGUUUACCUCAGCACAAUACCUAGCGUGGCACGCUGGGCCUGCAGGGAGCCCUGGGCUCACCACACAGCCAUCCAUCCACACUCCUGUCAGCUCCCACUCCCACCUCCCAGUGCCAGCUGUCCCUGCCAAGGCUGAUUUCAUGGAACUGGGGAGGUAUCUUGAGCUUUGCAGAACAAUAAAAUACACGUCACCCACCAGAUCCACAAACACAAGGCAGAGUGCAAGUGUGUCAUAGGGAACAGAUGGAUUUUGAGCAUGUCUUCGAGCAGCAGAAGCCUCACACCUCUUUCUCUGUGGCCAUAGCGAGGCACAGGCGCUGGAUGAGGCUGAGCGGCCACGGCUGCACCUCAGCUCUCUGGGCCUCUCGCCCCGCCGUGUCAGCGCUGUGAGGGAGCUGCCCUCGGCGUCCGCAUGGGCAGCGGCACAGCCCUGGCCACGCCGCCGCGGGGAGAGGGGCGGAAAGCAGAAGUGCUGGAGGCGCUGAGCCGCUGGAAGAGCUAACACGGAGGUCUGAGGGAAAGCCCCCGGAGCAGCGCUGCCACGCACCAUUCUUCCCGUGCCCAGCACCUGCCGACCCAUCGCCUUUCCAGGCGGCCAGCCCGCCGGGCACCGCGCGUCUCCUCCCGCACUCGGGGGCACAGAGGGGCACUCAGCAGAGGGCAGGGCGCUGGGCCAGGCGGUGCCCCCAGCAGAGCACGGCCCUGCCGGGGGAGCGGGGCAGAGGCGGGCGGGAGGGAGGCGCGGAGGGAGCGCGGCCAAGCCCGGCCCCUCGGCUGCUCAGCCCGGCCCGGCGCUCGGCGCUCCCCCCGGGCUCUUUGUUGGAGGUGGCGGCAGGGGGCCGCGCGCUAUGUCCUCCCCCAGGAACGGCUUCUACCGGCAGGAGAUCACCAAGACGCUCUGGGAAGUACGGGACCGCUACCGGGACCUGCAGCCCGUGGGCUCCGGCGCCUACGGAACCGUCUGCUCCGCUGUGGAUGGAAGAAGCGGCACCAAAGUGGCCAUUAAGAAGCUGUACCGCCCCUUUCAGUCCCAGAUCCUUGCCAAGAGAGCCUACCGAGAGCUGCGCCUCCUGAAGCACAUGAAGCACGAAAACGUCAUUGGAAUAUUGGAUGUAUUCACACCAGAUGUCACCCUGGAUAAAUUUAAUGGCUUCUACCUCGUCAUGCCAUUUAUGGGAACAGACUUAAGUAAGAUAAUGAAGCAUGAGAAACUCACUGAGGACCGAAUCCAGUUCUUGGUGUAUCAGAUGUUAAAAGGCUUAAAGUAUAUUCACUCGUCUGGCAUAAUUCACAGGGAUCUAAAGCCUGGAAACCUGGCAGUAAAUGAAGACUGUGAAUUGAAGAUCCUGGAUUUUGGAUUGGCCAGGCAUACAGACAGUGAGAUGACAGGUUACGUGGUUACAAGGUGGUACAGAGCCCCAGAGGUCAUCCUUAAUUGGAUGCAUUACACACAAACAGUUGACAUCUGGUCUGUGGGCUGUAUAAUGGCAGAAAUGAUAACGGGGAGGCCUCUGUUCAGGGGAAACGACCAUCUGGACCAACUCACAGAAAUAAUGAAAAUAACGGGUACACCAAGUCAAGAUUUUGUGCAAAAACUGAAGAGUCAGGAAGCAAAAAACUAUAUCAAAAGCCUUCCAAAAGUCCAGAAGAAAGAUUUUGCAUCCGUCUUGAAGCAUGCGAGUCCUUUGGUGCAUUUUGAUAAUCUCACAGUGGACCUGAUCCAAAAUCCACCGGCAAGGAACAUAGAAGAUGUUCAUGGAUUUCCUGGAUUGUUUUGCUGUAAACCUUUUGGAGAACAUGCUGGUGCUGGAUGCGGAGGAGCGAGUCACAGCAGCCGAGGCUUUGAUGCAUCCUUACUUUGAACCAAUUCACGAUCCUGAGGAAGAAAUUGUAGCUGAGAAAUACGAUGAUACAUUUGAUAACAUGGAUCUACCUCUGGAUGAGUGGAAGCGUAUUACAUAUAAAGAGAUACUGAACUUCAAGCCACCACAAACAUCAGAGUCAAAGGAGACAGCAGUGUAAUUGUAUGACUUGGUCUUUUCAGAACUCAGAAGAAAGCAGGAAAGUUGUAAAUGUUUGUAAUAUUUCAGGUGUAUAAAACUUUUAUAAAUAAACUGGAUGUAAUCUAUUUCAUCUGCACUGUAAGAAAGAGCAGUGUCUUUUACUGUGCAUGUGGAAAUGCGAUGCCUCUGGGAGCAGCCCCUCAGAACUGUCCAGAAGCUGAUUUCUGCCCACAGUUUCUCCCCUCCGCACAAAAGGAUUCAGUCUCUGAUAACUCUGGAAAGAGCAGGUGGGACCAAUUCUUCAAAUCAGAAAUCACAUGAGAGUACAAGUUACCACUGUGAACAAGCUGAGACACAGAGUAUGUCAAUGAUAUGCAGUGUCUGCUCUCUGCUCUCCAGAGCUAUUGAACUAUCUUGAAUGUGAGAGGUAUCAAUGGAACUUUCUCUGGAAUAUUUUACCUUGAUGAGAUAUCUGGGGAGGCUGAUCCGCUUCUGUGACCUCAGCUAGUGAGGAGCAGAGACACAGCCUGAAUGGAUGCAUUUCUUUUGUCCUUUGUGAAAGCAGAAGAUCCUGAGCUCCAUCCAGGUCUGAAAAACUUAUGCAAGAGGCAAGAAACAGGCAAGUGUCAGUGUCCUAGAGAUUUUUAAGUGACCAGUGUAGUAGGAUGAGAUUUCCCAAGUGCAUUAGGUGAGCAGCCAUUAGGUAAACAAUCACUUUCAAGAGUCACAAUAUUUUUAUCUCAAUGCAGUGCAGCCUCUUUGUAUAACAGAGCAGGGAUUUCCAGGGAGAAACUUUUUUAAAGACUUUCUCAAACUCUAUAAGCUUUCUAGCAUCUUCUUUCUGAAAUAAUCAUUGAAAAUAUCCAUCUUUUCAGAGGAUGUACUGACUAGGUAACCAGCAGUGCUGAUCUUAGAAAUACAGCUGCAUGCAGGUGACGUUAUAGAAAAUUAAGUGAGGAUAAAUACAUGCUGCCUGCAGCAGGCUCUUGUACAGGCGUGUCGCCAGGUGCAGAAUCACAGCCAUUCUUUUUUGGAGCCUUCUGGAGUCAUCUCACUUUGGGGGGAACCUUCCAACCUUCUGCUGGGAGGUGUCUUACCAGAAGGAGUCAGAUUCCUGAUGAGCUACAAUGGGAUGUCAGAUGCUUUAUGAGCUUCUCUUACUGUCUGGGUUCAUUCAUUGCGUUUUCCCAGGUGCAUAGUUCAUAGUAACCUCUCAGAGGUAGGAAAAAGAAAUUGGCAAAUCUUUGGUGAAGAAUUUCCUUCUGAAAUCACUUCUCUUUGUUAGAGGUCCUUUUUAAAAUUGACUGUUUCCCAAAGCAAUCUGCUGUAGUUUGUUGCCACUAAGCGCAGUGGUUGUGAAGGAAGACAUUUGGUAUUAGCAGGUAAUAACUGAAAAAGAAUUAAGAAAUUAGGUGUGGUUGGUGGGCUGUUGUUCUUUUUUUUUGCUUUCAUAACCAGUUUAAAGCAGACAUUUAAUCAAGGCACAGUUGUUCUGUUUCUUUCAGUGAAUGUUUUACUUAAACACCUGUAAAUAGUACCAUUUGUUUAAAAAUUACUCAUGAUGGGCAUUGAUUAGUGGAGACCUAGAGAGCAAAUGGUAACAGAAACCUAGAAUUGUUGAUGUAUUUGACAAGACAUUAAAAAGUGUAGUUUCAGGAAUGCAUGAAACAAAGCAGGGAAUGUAAUUUGAAGCAAAACAUUCUUCCACUGUAGAGGUCACUGAGGAAGGCACGCUUUCCCCAUUUUGCACUAUUGACUUCCUGCUUGGACUACACUUUCAUGUGCAAUAGGAACUUUAUUUUUCACUUACUGUUUUUUAGGGUCGUGCCCUAUCGUCCUCUUAAAAGUCAUGGGAGAAAAGUGCCUAUUGAAGAUGGUGGGUUUUGAUAGCCUAGCUUGUUGCAGAUGUCGAGUGGCUGAGGUGAACUUGCCUCUUGUAGUACUAUAGAAGCCACAGGCUUCUGGAGACAUAAGGAGAUGGCAUUUGUUUUUUCUGUCUGUUUGGGGAUCACAGAACUCUUGAAGUAACUGAAGAACAGAGCUCGAUGCGUGUGCCAGAAGAGACAGAAGAGCUGCUGCGCCGCCUAGUCAGUAAACACUACAGAAGGUAAAUAACAAACAUGAAAAGUUUGUUGCGUCUUGGCAUGAUGUUUCUGUGAAGAGAUUGGAAUCUGAUGAAACUGCUCAAAAAAGCAAUAGGAAUUUUUAGUAUGAGGAGCUCGUUAAAAGAAAUGUGAGGUGAAAGCAGAAAUAUUUUGCAUGGGAGGCAGCUGCUGUUUGAAAGCGAGCAACAUUUCCCAGGAUUUUAUUUGCUGUUUCUACUGGUGCUUAGCAACUCAGGAAUAAGAACCCAAUUUCUGUUUGCCUUAAAGACAAAUGUAAAUAUGUUCUGCAUGUACUUGAAAUGUAUUGUGAAAAAUAAAGGUUGGGUUUUGGGGUUUUUUAUGCA